rnacentral:rRNA from 1 species
AAGUCGUAACAAGGUUUCCGUAGGUGAACCUGCGGAAGGAUCAUUACCGAAUUGUCAACACGAGUUGUUGCUGGUCCUCAAAACGGGGGCAUGUGCACGCUCUGUUCACACAUCCACUCACACCUGUGCACCCUCUGUAGUUCUGUGGCAUGGGGGACUCUGUCCUCCUGUUGUGGUCCUACGUCUUUACACACACUCUGUAAUAAAGUCUCAUGGAAUGCAUGACGCGUUUAACGCAAUACAAUACAACUUUCAGCAACGGAUCUCUUGGCUCUCGCAUCGAUGAAGAACGCAGCGAAAUGCGAUAAGUAAUGUGAAUUGCAGAAUUCAGUGAAUCAUCGAAUCUUUGAACGCACCUUGCGCCCUUUGGCUAUUCCGAAGGGCAUGCCUGUUUGAGUAUCAUGAACACCUCAACUCUCAUGGUUUGCCGUGAUGAGCUUGGACUUUGGAGGUCUUGCUGGCCUGUGGUCGGCUCCUCUCAAAUGGAUCAGCUUGCCAGUGUUUGGUGGCAUCAUGGGUGUGAUAACUAUCUACGCCUGUGGUUUUCUGCCAGAUAACCUUCAGUGAUGGAGGUACGCUGGAGCUCAUAAAUGUCUCUCCUCAGUGAAGACAGCUUUUUGAACGUUGAUCUC